UGAGGAAUAUUGCACAAUGGGCGCAAGCCUGAUGCAGCAACGCCGCGUGAGGGACGAAGGCCUUCGGGUCGUAAACCUCUUUUCUGGGGGACGAGUAAGGACGGUACCCCAGGAAUAAGUCUCGGCUAACUACGUGCCAGCAGCCGCGGUAACACGUAGGAGGCGAGCGUUAUCCGGAUUUACUGGGCGUAAAGCGUACGCAGGUGGCUUCGUUAGUCGGACAUGAAAGCUCCUGGCUUAACUGGGAGAGGUUGUUCGAUGCUGCGGGGCUUGAGGUUGGGAGAGGGACGUGGAAUUCCCGGUGUAGUGGUGGAAUGCGUAGAUAUCGGGAGGAACACCAGUGGCGCAAGCGGCGUCCUGGCCCACACCUGACGCUGAGGUACGAAAGCGUGGGUAGCAAACAG
rnacentral:rRNA from 1 species